AUUGAACGCUAGCGGGAUGCCUUACACAUGCAAGUCGAACGAGUGGCGAACGGGUGAGUAAUGUAUCGGAACGUGCCCAGUAGCGGGGGAUAACUACGCGAAACGUAGCUAAUACCGCAUACUAUUGGAGCGGCCGAUAUCGGAUUAGCUAGUUGGUGGGGUAAAGGCCUACCAAGGCCACGAUCCGUAUGUGGUUUGAGAGGACGACCAGUCACACUGUGACUGCGACACGGCCCAGACUCCUACGGGAGGCAGCAGGGGGGAAUUGUGGACAAUGGGGGAAACCCUGAUCCAGCCAUCCCGCGUGUGCGAUGAAGGCCUUCGGGUUGUAAAGCACUUUUGGCAGGGAGGCGGUACCUGCAGAAUAAGCACCGGCUAACUACGUGCCAGCAGCCGCGGUAAUUC
rnacentral:rRNA from 1 species